rnacentral:rRNA from 1 species
CCUACGGGAGGCAGCAGUGGGGAAUAUUGGGCAAUGGGCGCAAGCCUGACCCAGCAACGCCGCGUGAAGGAAGAAGGCUUUCGGGAUGUAAACUUCUUUUCUGAGGGACGAAGAAAGUGACGGUACCUCAGGAAUAAGCCACGGCCAACUACGUGCCAGCAGCCGCGGUAAUACGUGGGUGGCAAGCGUUAUCCGGAUUUAUUGGGUGUAAAGGGCGUGUAGGCGGGAAAGCAAGUCAGAUGGGAAAACUCAGGGCUCAACCCUGAGCCUGCAUUUGAAACUGUUUUUCUUGAGUGCUGGAGAGGUAAUCGGAAUUCCGUGUGUAGCGGUGAAAUGCGUAGAUAUAAGGAGGAACACCAGUGGCGAAGGCGGAUUGCUGGACAGUAACUGACGCUGAGGCGCGAAAGCGUGGGGAGCAAACAGGAUUAGAUACCCCUGUAGUC